AAACAAACAGAGACUGAUUUGUGUCAUCAACAGAGGAGCAUGGACUAAUGUACAACCUGUAUUUGCCGUGCCUUGGAGUCCAUGAGUUCUGCUUUGUACCGGCCGUGUCUUGGAGUCCCAUGACUUUUGCAUUGGUAAGUUUAUAAUUCAAUUAUAUUUUUUUAAAUUCUGCGUCCUCCACUAGUUUGUAUUUACGUUGUUUUGAUUUAUCGUCUUCCAC